rnacentral:rRNA from 1 species
AAUCAACGCUGGCGGCGUGCCUAACACAUGCAAGUCGAACGCGAAAGUCCCGCAAGGGAUCAGUAGAGUGGCAAACGGGUGAGUAACGCGUGGGUGACCUGCCUUCGAGCGGGGGAUAACGUCCCGAAAGGGACGCUAAUACCGCAUAACAUCCUGCCUUUUAACAGGCGGAGAUCAAAGCUGGGGAUCGCAAGACCUAGCACUCGAUGAGGGGCCCGCGUCUGAUUAGCUAGUUGGUGAGGUAACGGCUCACCAAGGCGACGAUCAGUAUCCGGCCUGAGAGGGCGGACGGACACACUGGGACUGAGACACGGCCCAGACUCCUACGGGAGGCAGCAGUGGGGAAUUGUUCGCAAUGGGCGCAAGCCUGACGACGCAACGCCGCGUGGAGGAUGAAGACCUU